rnacentral:rRNA from 2 species
AGCUCUCCCAAAUUGAUUUUAUGCUUGCAUAAAUGAUUUUUGGAUUCGGAGCGAGUGGCGAACUGGUGAGUAACACGUGGGUAACCUGCCCCGAAGCGGGGGAUAACAUUUGGAAACAAGUGCUAAUACCGCAUAAUUAGUUGGAACCGCAUGGUUCCAACUUGAAAGAUGGCUCUGCUAUCACUUUGGGAUGGACCCGCGCCGUAUUAGUUAGUUGGUGAGAUAAAAGCCCACCAAGACGAUGAUACGUAGCCGACCUGAGAGGGUAAUCGGCCACAUUGGGACUGAGACACGGCCCAGACUCCUACGGGAGGCAGCAGUAGGGAAUCUUCCACAAUGGACGAAAGUCUGAUGGAGCAACGCCGCGUGAGUGAUGAAGGUUUUCGGAUCGUAAAACUCUGUUGUUAAAGAAGAACAAGUGUUAGAGUAACUGUUAACACUUUGACGGUAUUUAACCAGAAAGCCACGGCUAACUACGUGCCAGCAGCCGCGGUAAUACGUAGGUGGCAAGCGUUGUCCGGAUUUAUUGGGCGUAAAGCGAGCGCAGGCGGUUUUGUAAGUCUGCUGUGAAAGCCCUCAGCUCAACUGAGGAAGUGCAGUGGAAACUACAAAACUUGAGUACAGAAGAGGAAAGUGGAACUCCAUGUGUAGCGGUGAAAUGCGUAGAUAUAUGGAAGAACACCAGUGGCGAAGGCGGCUUUCUGGUCUGUUACUGACGCUGAGGCUCGAAAGCAUGGGUAGCGAACAGGAUUAGAUACCCUGGUAGUCCAUGCCGUAAACGAUGAAUACUAGGUGUUGGAGGGUUUCCGCCCUUCAGUGCCGCAGCUAACGCAUUAAGUAUUCCGCCUGGGGAGUACGACCGCAAGGUUGAAACUCAAAGGAAUUGACGGGGGCCCGCACAAGUGGUGGAGCAUGUGGUUUAAUUCGAUGCUACGCGAAGAACCUUACCAGCUCUUGACAUCUUCUGCCAACCCAAGAGAUUGGGCGUUCCCUUCGGGGACAGAAUGACAGGUGGUGCAUGGUUGUCGUCAGCUCGUGUCGUGAGAUGUUGGGUUAAGUCCCGCAACGAGCGCAACCCUUAUUAUUAGUUGCCAGCAUUUAGUUGGGCACUCUAGUGAGACUGCCGGUGAUAAACCGGAGGAAGGUGGGGACGACGUCAAAUCAUCAUGCCCCUUAUGAGCUGGGCUACACACGUGCUACAAUGGAUGGUACAACGAGUCGCGAAACCGCGAGGUCAAGCUAAUCUCUUAAAGCCAUUCUCAGUUCGGAUUGCAGGCUGCAAC